UGGAGUUUGAUCGCUCCUGUUUGUAAAUGGAUCCACAGGAGUCUUUUGAUAUUAAAGGGAUGUUCCGGUGUAAAAUUAAUUUAGGGUCAAACACACAGUAACACAGAGUUAGACACCCCCUCCAGAGAUGAAAGUUGCCGACCGCUUGCUUCUCUAAAUACCGACUUUAGUAACGACCGCAUGAUAGCAAUACAGAGAGUUACGCGCUCAACCAAAACGCCACUCUAUAGCCACAAAUAAUGCUCAGAACAGCACCUAACUUCAUCAACAGGACAUAUAGGGUCACAGCCAUAGUACUAGACACCAAACAUCUUUUUAACUUUGACUCAUUUCUUUAGCAAAGAGACUAAACACAACUCACCUACUCUCUUCCAGCAGCUGCUUGUUUGUAGCGAGACCUCAGGCCAGUCCAUAACAGACUACAGCGGGGUGCCGCAGCUCAAAGAAGAACAUUUAUGAUCAUUUCUUUAUCAUUUCCUUGAAGUAAUAAUCAUUUUACAGACGCUGUAGUUCUUCUGUCUUAUCGUCUCGGUCUGAUUGUAUUUCCAUGAAGAAAUGAUCAUAAAUGUUCUUCCUUGAGCUGCGGCACCCCACUGUAGUCUGUAAUGGACUGGCCUGAGGUCUCGCUUCAAACAAGCAGCAAAAUUUGCAUCCUUUAUUACUUUCCGGUCACAUCCUUUGUUCUGGACUUUACAUUCAUGUCCCCAGACCUCCCCUGUCACCAGGUUGUAGAGGAUAUCAGGGUGUAUUUUGUUUACUCUGAUGACAUCUUGGAGCACAACGUGGUUUGGCAGUUAUAUCGGAUUAAACAGGGAUAUAAUCACAUGCAUGUAAACGUGAACCUGACAUUAGCCACCCUUUUGAAAACCAGUGUGACAUUGUUCACCUGCAGACUCAGUGUCCCUGUGUUUAUCCAUAAUAAAUUAGGGUGACCGUACGUCCUCUUUUACCUGGACAUGUCCUCUUUUUAGGGUUGUCCAGCCUUGUCCGGAGGAGUUUGUAAAAUCCUUAAAAGUUUUGAGUUUGUGUUGUGUGGAAUUAACUGAGUUAGAAGCACGUAAAAACACUCGAUCUGCUCAAAAAAACUCUAAAAAUUGACAAUGUGCAACUCUGUGACUCCGCCCCAUGUAGUAGUGUCCUCUUUUGGGGGAUUCAGAAUAUGGUCAUCCUAGCAAAUCAGUACGACAUAUAAUAUUUCUGCUACCUGAGUGUUUUCUUACCUUCAGUAAGAAAAUUAAUUCCUUCAGAAUAUCCCCGUUAUUAGAUGCUCUUUCGUACUUAGCUCUUAGCUUUAGCUCAUACAGCAGGAUGAAUGUUUCACCUUGCUGUUAGUUAAAGUUCAGUCAUAUCUAAAUAAAGUCUAAAUGAAAUGAAUGAAUGUCAGUUUCCUUUUCCUGUGUUUUGAUGAGUUGAACCUUUUUGUCUCCUCUUUCUGCUCUCUAAUCUCUCUCUCCAGUUCACACAUCGUAAUUCUCCAGGUCCUCGCUCGCCCUCUCCUCCCUUCCCUAAUUCCUGGCUCUGCGGGUAAUCCCCGCGCGCCACCAACUCCCAGCCGUGAUGGUCCUCGGGUUAAGAAACCACUUUUGCCCACCCACUCUUGAAGACACUCAUUAGGCUGUGCUGAGCAGGAAUCCUGAUCUACACCAUUACAGAGGUGAUCCUCUUAUGCAAACUGCUCUUCACACCCCGUCCACAAAGCGGGAAUGCUCAUGAGCUCAAAUCCACGAAGGCGCUGGCUGCCAGAUUAUCCACAGCCCACAAUGGUGCAGCUGCCGUUUCUCCCUUUUUGAUGGAACAAUGCGUUUUGUCGGGUGCAUUCACGGCUGGGACUGAUCCUGGCACAGACAUGUGGAUGACUUAGCGAUCAUGUGUAUGUGAGUGGAUAUUUAGGACAGAUCACAUGAGAUUGUUGUGCUUGGCUUGUAUACAAACAGGACAUUCUUCUCCUCCCGGAGCAAAAACAAACCUGACCGUUUGGUUGUUCGUAACUUGAGGCGCCGCCGGCCGUAGGAUCAGGGAACACGCUCUUUGAUGAGGGCAGUAUCGGCCUCUUAGCAAACUGCAUUCAGGCUGACAUGUGGUUCCAGCCAGUCAGCAAAAUGCAACCUGGCUGGCCUGCUCUUUCCGCUCAGCACAUCAGAGGUAACCGGCCUUAUCUGAUGUGACACGGCUGACACUGCCCUGAGAGCUGCGAGGAGGAGACCCUGCCGAUGAUUAAUUCAAGCUCGGGAAACAUGAUGAGGAUUAGCUCGCUCUGUGUUUACCCCUGCAGACGUCUCUCCUAAACUCAGGACGAGUCUCUGGCAUGACAAGGGGCUGUGUAAUAAGGCUGAAUCAUCAGCGGAGAAUGAUGGCGAUGGGAAAACUAGUCGAGGCCAGACCGAGGAGUGUGAAUCCAGAGAAGUGACUCAGCAGCACUACCACUCUUUGUCUUUGUGCAGCUCGGUGUAGAUGCCAGCUCUCGGAGUGGUGGCCUGCAGACCUCGGUCAGACAGAACGUCCAAAUUAUUCUGCUCGCUUUAACACCGUCAUAAAGUAAGUGAGCGAGCUGCUUCAGACAACCUCGCUGUUCAAUCGCAGGAAAGCGUCCGGACUCUCCCUCGUUCAUUCACAUAGUUCAGGGAGUUAACUUACUUUAGCUCAUUCACAAAACAAAACACAACAUCUAUUUACCGUAAUGGUUAAAUUUAAUCAUCCCGAUUUAGCCAAAUAUUAGAUUAGUCUGAAUCAUUAAUCGACCAAUAAAGCCAAAGUGGAAAUGCCGGAGAAAGUGAGUCAGGCAUCAUUAACUGUCCUGUAUACAAAUCUUUAUUUUACAGUUACUGUCAGAGCCAAAUAUGUUGAUAUGAUACAUUUUGAAUUUUCUGUUGACAAUGUUUGACAAUAAGAAUAAACGUAAUGAAUGUUUAGCAUGUAAACAGAAGAUGAACUGAUUAGACUAGAUUAAUAAACUAGAUUAAUGUUGUAUCCUCUCUACAAGGCCGGCCUCUUGAUUAUGUAAUGAUGCAGAUGUCACCAUAAGACCCGUGUCACUACAGUUUGGCUUUAGUGCAGCAGUAUCACAACAAAUGUGCGUUUUAUCAGACCGUCACAAACACUACAUAAGGGUUCCUUGAUCCCUCAGACUCCCUGGAUUUGGACUAAAAUGGUUAAAUCUCAAGUCAUGACUUUUUUUUAGUGGCGAAGGGAGGAGGGAAACAUCAUCACGACCACAGAGAUCCACAGACUUCAUCGGCUCGUUCAGGAGAAGUUAUUCGGUCCUGAAUAUUGAUGGAGUUUGACUCCCAAAUAAAAACACUUGUGAUGACUUCUCCAUCAAAACACAUUCCCGUCCUCGUGCCUGCUCAUGAAUAACAACACUAUGACAUUAACAACUCCUACUCAUCCUCCUACGACGCUGUGCCUAUAACUUUUGUGUCCAGUAUGGAGGUGUGAACAAAUCACACUGCAGGGAAAUCUACUGGCUCAUUGACUUUAUUGCACACCCCUCCAGCUCCAGCUCCCAGUGAAUGAAGACUUGUUUUCAGGGUACUGCUGCUGCUGCUGCCUCUGUUAAUACACACUUUGUAGCUGUGCCUCUAAAACUCUGAUUCUAUCUUCUGGCUCCGUGUUUCUGCUGGGAAAAAAACCUCUGCAGUGGGACUCUCCGCUGAUCUUCUAUAAAGGGGAAAAGGUUGCUCUUUGCCUGUAUAAGAAUAAUGAAGUUAUUUGUGUGCAGCUCAAGUCUCUCUCAGAUAGUCUUUUCCUCUAGUUAUGCAGCUCCAAACACUGAAACCUUCAUGCAGUUUCACUCAGGGCUGUUACUCAUGCUCACAAGAAUAAACUGUCUCCGGCCCAAGGGGAUGAAGGUGAUGAGGAGGUAAACAGUAACAGGAAGGAGCAGCUUAGGAACAAUUAAAGGUCCUAUAUUAUACUCCUUUUUCAGCAGGUUCACAAAUGUCUCAGACGUCCCACAAUAGUCCAUUUGAAGUUUGUUGUCUAAAAAUUGAGAACCAUAAUUUUGAACGGGUUGUUGCGCUCUCUCUGGCCGGGGAAGAGUGCACAAUUGGUGGCCACACACCUCCAGAGCAUCCCCCAUUAAUACUUAAUAUAGGAGCGAGCUUAAUACACAAAGCGAGCUACUCUGUCACAUCACCAGCUGGUUUCUGAAAUCGAUCGGUAGUUUAAAUAAAGUUUUUAAGGUGAAAAAAAUGUGCACUCGUGCAGUUUAGAAAGUGACAGGCGGACAUGAAAAUGAAAUAGCAAUUGCCCGUUUGGUUUUUCUUUUGAAUUGUGUUACGAAAUGUGCAGCUCAAUGAGAAAAUUUCAGAGUUAAAUUACGAAGUUUUGGCUUUGAGACGAAAAAGCCUUACUGCAAAUGCAUUUGAAUUUUCAGAUGUGACAUUUGAAAUUAAAUUUUGGUAUAUUUGUUGGGGCAUAUUUUGAAAAUUAAAUGAAAUAAACAGAAUGAUCCAAUCAGAAAAAGCAAUUGCAGUUCGGAUUAUUUAUUUUUAAUUUUAUUUAUGAGUCAAAAAGUGCAGCUACAUUCUAAAAAUACAAAUGCAUUUCUAUUUUAAUUUGAAUUAUGACACUAAUUUGCUUCCAUAAGAAA
rnacentral:lncRNA from 1 species